GACACGAACACGAUAACACGACACGAACCUACACGAAGUUAACAGGUUUCGUGUUUGACCUUAACAGGUUUCGUGUCUAAACAGGUCGACACGAUAAGACCUAUUUAAAUUUCGUGUCUAAACAAGUUAAAACCCGUUAACCUGUUAAGACCCGUUCAUGACAUGCUAAGAAUUUAAAUUAAAAAAAUAUACCAGGUAUGUCAUGUGAGAAGCGGGGUGGGUAUAUCCUAAUUUUGAAAUUCAUUCUUCAAUUCACGCUCCAAAGUGCAAAGUCCAAACCCUAAAAAGAUCUCUACAGCAGCCGCAAUCGAUCGACGAACAAGAACAACCAUCGACGACCAGCAUACGUUCAGCCAUCAAUCGACGAACACGUUCAACAUACGUUCAGCCAUCAAUCGACCAGCAUACGUUCAGCCAUCAGCCGCAAUCAAUCGACGAACAAGAACAACCAUCGAAGACCAUCAUACGUUCAGCCAUCAGGUAAGUUAAAGAUACUUGAUUUGUGUUGUUGUGUUCAUCUGUUGUCAUUACAUGUCCAGUUUCGUAUGCACUGAUUUGUGUGAAUAUACUUGGUAAACUAAAAGAUGAAGGUUGUCAUUACAUGAAGGUUGUUAUGUUCAUCUGUUGUUCAGCCAAAGGAUAUUAAAAAAAGAAAUAUUUUAACUUGAUUUCGUGAAUAUGAAGAUACGUUGUCAAAAGAAUCUAGCUCUAUCUUUAACGGAUCUUAACCACCUGUACGAGUAAGCUCAAAAUCAUUUGUAGUACUGCUUUCAAUCAUCAGCUUCCUGUGUUAACAUUUUCAUAUCUUGUAAAUAAUGGGUCUUUAAAGUAGAGAAAAAAACUCAACGUAAAAUGUCUUCUAUAUUGAUAAGAUAGCGUUGCAGUUCAUUUUACAAGUAAUUAGAGUUUUCAUUGUUAGGUUGUUUUAUAGUCAUAGAUACAUUAGUCACGCAUAUAGAAAGAAUCUAGAUAAGUACUAUUAAGGUGAGAUGACCAAAUUAUUACUUUAAUAUAAUCUUAGAUUAGGAUAGAACUGGAAUUAGAUGGUAGGUGGAUAUGGAUUUUGAUUCUAUCAAAGUCGACCUAGAAAAUGAUAGGUGUAUGAAUUUGGAAGAUGAUGAAGUUGGCUCUAUGGAGGUAGAUGAUAAAAAUGAUAGUGGUGUUAGAAAACCCAAGGCAAAGAGAUCGCGAAAGGAAAGAUUAGUUGUUUAGCAUUACUUUACCAAACAACAAAACAAAGCUUUAGGCGGAAAGGUUCCAUCAAAGUGCAACAAAUGUGGUCAUAUUCUCAUGUUUGAUAGCAAGCAAGGUACGGGAACCAAGUUAGUGUAGAUGAGCUCAUAGAAGAUAUAAUGUCACUUGACAUUAGCCGUGAAUCAGACGCUUCAAAUUCUGUGAACAAUCCUAAGGUAUCCACUCCAAAUGCUUCAAGUAGUGUUGCUUGUUAAAAAUCAAUGAACAUCUCAAGGUUUGAUUGUUUGGAAUUGAAGAUCUUGAGAAAGAAAUGCAUAUGGGAACUUGAAUGUUGAAACUAUUUGGAUGUUAUGAUUAGACUUUUAUGGAUUUCGUUUUAAGUUUGUUAAAACAUCAUGUGUUUAUGCAUUUUUAUGACUUUUGUGAACCUUUGGCGACUAGAUUUCCAUUAAACAGGUUCCUUAAUUGCUAAUUUCAAAUAUGGAAUAAUAGGUCAUGUUCGUGUCUUAA